UACGAAGGGGGCUAGCGUUGCUCGGAAUCACUGGGCGUAAAGGGUGCGUAGGCGGGUUUUUAAGUCAGGGGUGAAAUCCGGCAGCUUAACUGUCGAAGUGCCUUUGAUACUGGGAAGCUCGAGGGAGGUAGGGGUGUGUGGAACUUCCGGUGGAGCGGUGAAAUGCGUUGAUAUCGGAAGGAACGCCGGUGGCGAAAGCGACGCACUGGACCUCUUCUGACGCUGAGGCGCGAAAGCCAGGGGAGCAAACGGG
rnacentral:rRNA from 1 species